AAGGGGAGUUGACUAGAGAGAGAUAGGGGAAGGGAAGACCUUGAAGCUUGGAUCUCCAUCUUCUUCAAGCUUAGAUCUCUAAGAUAUUGGGUAUUCUAGGGAUUUUGACAAGGAGUAUUUGGGCAAGCUAAAUAGCUAAGAUUUGGAUGUUUUAGAGUAGUUAGGACAUGUGAAUAGCACGAGCACAAGUGGUGGGGUCUCGAAGGUGACUUUUGAAACUUGGAGACUUA